rnacentral:rRNA from 1 species
UACUAGAGUAGCACUCGCAUAUCAAUAAGCGGAGGAAAAGAAACUAACAAGGAUUCCCCUAGUAACGGCGAGUGAAGCGGGAAGAGCUCAAGUUUGAAAUCUUAAAGGGUUUCCCUUUACGAAUUGUAGUUUAAAGAAGUGUUUUCUGUUGAGGUUUUGGUAAAAGUUCUUUGGAAUAGGACAUCAUAGAGGGUGAGAAUCCCGUAUUUGACCUUUACUUUCAACUUUGUGAUACACUUUCAAAGAGUCGGAUUGUUUGGGAAUGCAGUCCAAAAUGGGUGGUAAAUUUCAUCUAAAGCUAAAUAUUGGCGAGAGACCGAUAGCGAACAAGUACCGUGAGGGAAAGAUGAAAAGAACUUUGAAAAGAGAGUUAAACAGUACGUGAAAUUGUCAAAAGGGAAGCGUUUGACACCAGUGUUGUUUUUCUGAAAAUCAAUUAAAGAACUGUUUAUGCUAAGCUGUUUAGACUUUAUCAGCUAUCUGUUUAGUUUUGAGCUUUUCUUUAAUGCACUUUUCAGUUAACAAGUCAACAUCAAUUUCUUUUGCUGUAAAAAAGCUUGAGGAAGGUGGCUUGAGAUUCGUCUUAAGUGUUUAUAGCCUCUUGCCUAUGCAGUCGGAGAGAUUGAGGUCUGCAGCGUAGAUCCUUCGGGGCUAAAUGCAUUUGUGCUAAGUUAUAGCAUUUUAUAGACAACUUGUUGACUAUGAUUUGUCUUGUAGCUUACUCGCUUAUGUUAUUUUACCUACGCUUAGGAUGUUGAACUACUGAGACAUAGA